rnacentral:rRNA from 1 species
AACGAACGCUGGCGGCAGGCCUCAAACAUGCAAGUCUAGGGGGUGUAGCAAUACAUCACCGGCGGACGGGUGCGUAACGCGUGGGAAUAUACCUAUUGGUUCGGAACAACACAGGGAAACUUGUGCUAAUACCGAAUGUGCCCUUACGGGGAAAGAUUUAUCGCCAAUGGAUUAGCCCGCGUCCGAUUAGCUAGUUGGUGAGGUAACGGCUCACCAAGGCUCCGAUCGGUAGCUGUUCUGAGAGGAAGAUCAGCCACACUGGGACUGAGACACGGCCCAGACUCCUACGGGAGGCAGCAGUUGGGAAUCUUGGACAAUGGGGGAAACCCUGAUCCAGCCAUGCCGCGUGAGUGAUGAAGG